UCGGGAAUUUUGGGCAAUGGGCGAAAGCCUGACCCAGCAACGCCGCGUGAAGGAUGAAGUAUUUCGGUAUGUAAACUUCGAAAGAAUAGGAAGAAUAAAUGACGGUACUAUUUAUAAGGUCCGGCUAACUACGUGCCAGCAGCCGCGGUAAUACGUAGGGACCAAGCGUUGUUCGGAUUUACUGGGCGUAAAGGGCGCGUAGGUGGUUUGUUAAGUUGGAUGUGAAAGCCCCGGGCUCAACCUGGGAACUGCAUCCAAAACUGGCAAGCUAGAGUACGGUAGAGGGUGGUGGAAUUUCCUGUGUAGCGGUGAAAUGCGUAGAUAUAGGAAGGAACACCAGUGGCGAAGGCGACCACCUGGACUGAUACUGACACUGAGGUGCGAAAGCGUGGGGAGCAAACAGGAUUAGAUACCCCCGUAGUCCCUGAGCGGGCUGGCAAGGCGCAU
rnacentral:rRNA from 1 species